ensembl:lncRNA
GAGAGGACAAAUGAGAGAGAGAGAGCGGACAAGGACAGAUGGGAGAGAGAGAGGACUAAUGAGAGAGCGAGAAGACAAACAAGAGAGAGAGGACAAAUGAGAGAGAGAGAAAACAAAUGAGAGAGGGAGGACAAAUGAGAGAGAGAGGACAGAUGAGAGAGAGAGAAAACAGAUGAGAGGGAGAAAAGAUGAGAGAGCAAGAGAACAGAUGAGAGAGAGGACAAACGAGAGAGAGAGGACAAAGGAGAGAAGGAGAGGGGGAGAGUCUUGCUUUAAAAAACGUUGCUUCCCAAAAAUAGCCAAGGCUCUUCUCUCGCCGUGCCGCACGCACACAGACCCACCGCGGACCGGCCCCGGGGAGCCCCGGGGAGCCGCGGGGAGCCCCGGGCCCCCACUAGUCGCACCCUGAAGAGCGAGACGCCUCCGCCAGGGGAGCGCAGCGGACGGAGCUCUGGACAGGACGGCCUCCCAAAGAGAGACCGCACGGCAUCAGCCCCGCCCACACGUUGAGCAAGAAGCUGAUGCCACGACGGGGUCGACGAGG